CCUACGGGUGGCAGCAGUGAGGAAUAUUGGACAAUGGACGAGAGUCUGAACCAGCCAAGUAGCGUGAAGGAUGACUGCCCUAUGGGCUGUAAACUUCUUUUAUAUGGGAAUAAAAUGUUCCAAGUGUGGGAUUUUGUAUGUACCAUAUGAAUAAGGAUCGGCUAACUCCGUGCCAGCAGCCGCGGUAAUACGGAGGAUCCGAGCGUUAUCCGGUUUUAUUGGGUUUAAAGGGAGCGUAGGUGGUUCGUUAAGUCAGAUGUGAAAGGUUGCGGCUCAACCGUAAAAUUGCAGUUGAAACUGGCAGUCUUGAGUACAGUAGAGGUGAGCGGAAUUCGUGGUGUAGCGGUGCAAUGCGUAGAUAUCUCGAAGAACUCCGAUUGCGAAGGCAGCUCACUGGUCUGCAACUGACACUGAGGCUCGAAAGUGUGGGUAUCAAACAGGAUUAGAUACCCCUGUAGUC
rnacentral:rRNA from 1 species